UGACAGUAUGUGACAGAUCAGGUUGUGCUACACUAGUAUUGUGGAACUCUUUGUGUCCAGAGUUUUAUCAUAGGGUACAAGAAGGACAUGUUCUACUUAUACAGAAAUAUACUGUAAAGAAAAGUUUUCAUCAUGUUGACCACUACAGACCACCAUUGCCUGAUGGCUUGACCAUGUACGAUAUAGAUAUUAAUGUUAACAGUCACCAUCCUGUAGGAAUAGUAAGAGUUAUCUCACUUGUUACAAUACCAAGCUGUCUAAAUCUGCCUGCAAAACAAUACAACAUUAUACAGAGAAAAGAUUUGGGAUGCUUUCCCAGUGAUUAUGUAUGUGACAUCACAGGUUUAGUGAUAUAUGUUGGCCGAUUCUUUAGAGAGAGGAUGACAGGUAAAACUGAUUUAGACACUGGUGGCUUCUGGAUCAGUAGAUGGUUAGAACUGAAAGACCAUAGCAGUCAGAAAACUUUUAAAGUCCUUAUAUACAGACCAGCUGCGGUA